rnacentral:rRNA from 1 species
AUUGAACGCUGGCUGCGGGCCUAACACAUGCAAGUCGAACGAGUGGCGGACGGGUGAGUCAUGUCUGUGAAACUGCCAGGUGGAGGGGGAUAACUACUGGAACCGGUAGCUAAUACCGCCUACCAUCGGAUGUGCCCAUAUGGGAUUGGCUAGUAGGUGGGGUACCGGCUCACCUAGGCGACGAUCCCUAGCUGGUCUGAGCGGAUGACCAGCCACAUCGGAACUGGGGCACGGUCCAGACUCCUACGGGAGGCAGCAGUGGGGAAUAUUGCACAAUGGGCGCAAGCCUGAUGCAGCCAUGCCUCGUGUAUGAAGAAGGCCUUCGGGUUGUAGAGUACGUUCAGCGAGGAGGCGUUACUCGCAGAAGAAGCACCGGCUAACUCCGUGCCAGCAGCCGCGGUAAUAC